rnacentral:rRNA from 1 species
ACUAAAUAGAUACCCAGGUAGUCCACGCCCUAAACGAUGAUUACUCGACAUUGGCGAUAUUACUGUUCAGUGUCUGAGCGAAAGCGUUAAGUAAUCCACCUGGGGAGUACGCCCGCAAGGGUGAAACUCAAAGGAAUUGACGGGGGUCCGCACAAGCGGAGGAGCAUGUGGUUUAAUUCGAUGAUACGCGAGGAACCUUACCUGGGCUAGAAUGCGCGUGAAUGUUUCAGAAACGAGACAGGCUCAGCAAUGAGACACAAAGCAAGGUGCUGCAUGGCUGUCGUCAGCUCGUGCCGUGAGGUGUUGGGUUAA